GGGCCCUUAGCGCAGCUGGUAGCGCGCUUCCAUGGCAUGGAAGAGGUCAGCGGUUCGAUCCCGCUAGGGUCCACCA
rnacentral:tRNA from 1 species